GGAGUUGGCUAGACAGUCGCCGCCGAGCGCGCUUGCUUGCAAGUGUGGUCGGGGGAGGAAAGUCCGGGCUCCAUAGGGCAGGGUGCCAGGUAACGCCUGGGCGGCGCGAGCCGACGGCUAGUGCAGCAGAGAGUAGACCGCCUACGUCUCCUUCGGGAGGCCGGUAAGGGUGAAAGGGUGCGGUAAGAGCGCACCGCGCGCCUGGUAACAGUGCGUGGCAUGGUAAACCCCACCUGGAGCAAGACCAAAUAGGAACCCACUGGCGUGGCCCGCGCUGGGUUCGGGUAGGUCGCUUGAGGGGCGCGGUGACGCGUCCACUAGAUGAAUGGCUGUCCACGACAGAACCCGGCUUACCGGCCGACUCCCUCC
rnacentral:RNase_P_RNA from 1 species